UACGAAGGGGGCUAGCGUUGUUCGGAAUUACUGGGCGUAAAGGGCGCGUAGGCGGUGUGUCAAGUCAGGCGUGAAAGCCCCGGGCUCAACCUGGGAACCGCGCUUGAGACUGGCACGCUCGAGUUCGGGAGAGGAUGGUGGAAUUCCCAGUGUAGAGGUGAAAUUCGUAGAUAUUGGGAAGAACACCGAUGGCGAAGGCAGCCAUCUGGACCGACACUGACGCUGAGGCGCGAAAAGCGUGGGGAGCAAACAGG
rnacentral:rRNA from 1 species